UAUUGGACAAUGGGGGGAACCCUGAUCCAGCAAUGCCGCGUGUGUGAAGAAGGCCUGAGGGUUGUAAAGCACUUUCAGUGGGGAGGAGGGUUGACAGGUUAAGAGCUAGUUAACUGGACGUUACCCACAGAAGAAGCACCGGCUAACUCCGUGCCAGCACCCGCGGUAAUACGGAGGGUGCGAGCGUUAAUCGGAAUUACUGGGCGUAAAGGGUGCGUAGGUGGUUUAUUAAGUUAUCUGUGAAAUCCCUGGGCUUAACCUGGGCAGGUCAGAUAAGACUGGUAGACUCGAGUAUGGGAGAGGGUAGUGGAAUUUCCGGUGUAGCGGGGAAAUGGGGAGAGAUCGGAAGGAACACCAGUGGGGAAGGCGGCUACCGGCCUAAACGACACGAGCAAGAA
rnacentral:rRNA from 1 species